rnacentral:rRNA from 1 species
AGAAUGAACGCUGGCGGCGUGCUUCAGACAUGCAAGUCGAACGCGAAAGCCCGCAAGGGCAAGUAAAGUGGCGCACGGGUGAGUAAUACUUGGGUAACGUGCCCAAUCGCUGGGGAUAACGAGGCGAAAGCUUCGCUAAUACCGAAUGAUUCCAUUGAGUCUGUGGAUUUGAUGGAUAAAGCCGUAAGGCGCGAUUGGAGCGGCUCAAGCCCCAUUAGCUAGUUGGUGGGGUAAAGGCCUACCAAGGCUACGAUGGGUAGCUGGUCUGAGAGGAUGAUCAGCCACACUGGUACUGGAACACGGACCAGACUCCUACGGGAGGCAGCAGUUAGGAAUUUUGUGCAAUGGGGGAAACCCUGACACAGCAACGCCGCGUGAGUGAUGAAGGCCUUCGGUUGUAAAGCUCGUUUUAGUUAGGGAAGAAAAAAUGAACUGUAACCAACAGAAACAGCAACCGCUAACUCUGU